CUCAUAUAUAUAUAGCUCCACAUCUCUCUCUCUCCCCUCCCUUACUCUCUUUCCACGAACACCACAGCCACUGCCUCUCUCUCCUCGGCUCACUCUCGCCCCGCGCUUCUUCGAUUUCAUGAAGGAGGAGAGCGACGAUGACAAGAACAAGGCCGAGCUCAGGUUCCACUCCGCUCUUGCUUACGCCCCUCCGCCUUCUUCGAUGCAAGAGUAUUUCCCAAUCUCUGGAGCCCUUUUUCGCUUGUCUAGGGUUAGGAUUUUGAAGAUUGGAGUAGAUUUAGGGGAAUCGUUUUGAAACCCCCAAUUAAUCUUUCAGAUCUGGGUCAACAUGUUUUGGCCUUUUGGGAUAUACAGAUUUGAUUCGGGUUUGGGUUCAAUUAAGGAGUUGGCCGGCUUAAGUUCCUCCUUAGUUCGGCACCUGGUUGUGGCUUCACCGGAGGAAGCCCGAAUGUUGUCUUUGUCGGAUAACAGACUUGCAAAAGGUUCAGAAUACCCUCAGGUGGAGCUUGGGUCCUAUAAAAAAUGGUGGCCUUGUUGUUGGGAUUGAUCUCAAGAACAAAAGGUGAAGGCUCUAGCUAUGCAUUGCAAAAUCUAGGGUUUCUGAAAUUCAAUCUGCGAAUUUUGACUAUUGCUAAGGUCACUGUCAGGUCUGACUCCACCUUUUCCAGAAGGAUUUAGAUUGGAUGAAGGAGAAGAUCGAUUACUAUCUUGGUUGGUUGUUGCUGUUUGUUUGGUUAUUGGUUUUCAACUGGCAGUUUAUCAAAGGCUUGGGAUGUGAUGUGUCAAGGCCCAUAUUUCAUGUACCUCAUCUCAAUGGAAUUUAUGUUUCGGAAAGAUGGUUCAUAAGGUUGAUGGAGGGAAACAAGCAAUUUGUCACAAGAGACCCAGAAAAGGCUCGCUUAUUUUAUCUUCCUCAUAGCAUGCGCCAAUUGGAGUUGAAGCUUUAUGUGCCUGGUUUACAUCAAAUUAAACCACUGGCAAUAUUCCUCAGAGACUAUAUGAACAUGAUUGCUGGAAGUAUCCUUUCUGGAAUCACACACAUGGGACAAAUCAUUUUGUUGCUAGCCAUGACUGAAGGCUGACUGGAAAUUACUGGUUACACACAUGGAAGGAAAGGUAGAGGAAAAGUGCGGUUAUCACUAUGUUUUUGGCCUACCUUUGAUUCCAGAAGUUGUAAUGUUUUUGGUCUUUAUGUUUAGUAUAUAUUGUAGACCUUGUUGGAAUCAAUGGAAACCUUUUGGUAUCAAUA